rnacentral:rRNA from 2 species
UACGGGAGGGGCUAGCGUUGUUCGGAAUUAUUGGGCUUAAAGGGCGUGUAGGCGGCCUGGUAAGUACUUUGUGAAAACCCUCGGCUCAACCGAGGACGUGCUUGGUAUACUGCUGGGCUUGAGGCAGGUAGGGGUGCUUGGAACUCUAGGUGGAGCGGUGAAAUGCGUUGAUAUCUAGGGGAACGCCGGUGGCGAAAGCGGAGCACUGGGCCUGUCCUGACGCUGAGACGCGAAAGCGUGGGGAUCAAACGGG